GUACUUGCUUCACAGCACAUACGAUGGAGUUGGAAUGGUUCAGAGAGGAUUAGAAUGGUCUCUGUACAAGGAUAACACAAAAAUUUAUGAAGUGUUCCAUAUUUAA